rnacentral:precursor_RNA from 7 species
GCUCCGGCCCAGCAUCUAAUGGCUGCAAUCAACAUUCAUUGCUGUCGGUGGGUUUUCAUUGCUAUCAACUCACUGAUCAAUGAAUGCAAACUGCGGACCAGCUGGCUAAGAGGCUGCGUG